rnacentral:rRNA from 1 species
UACAGGCUUAACACAUGCAAGUCGAGGGGAAACGACAUCGAAAGCUUGCUUUUGAUGGGCGUCGACCGGCGCACGGGUGAGUAACGCGUAUCCAACCUGCCCACCACUUGGGGAUAACCUUGCGAAAGUAAGACUAAUACCCAAUGACGUCUCUAGAAGACAUCUGAAAGAGAUUAAAGAUUUAUCGGUGAUGGAUGGGGAUGCGUCUGAUUAGCUUGUUGGCGGGGUAACGGCCCACCAAGGCGACGAUCAGUAGGGGUUCUGAGAGGAAGGUCCCCCACAUUGGAACUGAGACACGGUCCAAACUCCUACGGGAGGCAGCAGUGAGGAAUAUUGGUCAAUGGACGAGAGUCUGAACCAGCCAAGUAGCGUGCAGGAUGACGGCCCUAUGGGUUGUAAACUGCUUUUAUAAGGGAAUAAAGUGAGUCUCGUGAGACUUUUUGCGUGUACCUUAUGAAUAAGGACCGGCUAAUUCCGUGCCAGCAGCCGCGGUAAUACGGAAGGUCCGGGCGUUAUCCGGAUUUAUUGGGUUUAAAGGGAGCGUAGGCCGGAGAUUAAGCGUGUUGUGAAAUGUAGACGCUCAACGUCUGCACUGCAGCGCGAACUGGUUUCCUUGAGUACGCACAAAGUGGGCGGAAUUCGUGGUGUAGCGGUGAAAUGCUUAGAUAUCACGAAGAACUCCGAUUGCGAAGGCAGCUCACUGGAGCGCAACUGACGCUGAAGCUCGAAAGUGCGGGUAUCGAACAGGAUUAGAUACCCUGGUAGUCCGCACGGUAAACGAUGGAUGCCCGCUGUUGGUCUGAAUAAGUCAGCGGCCAAGCGAAAGCAUUAAGCAUCCCACCUGGGGAGUACGCCGGCAACGGUGAAACUCAAAGGAAUUGACGGGGGCCCGCACAAGCGGAGGAACAUGUGGUUUAAUUCGAUGAUACGCGAGGAACCUUACCCGGGCUUGAAUUGCAGAGGAAGGAUUUGGAGACAAUGACGCCCUUCGGGGCCUCUGUGAAGGUGCUGCAUGGUUGUCGUCAGCUCGUGCCGUGAGGUGUCGGCUUAAGUGCCAUAACGAGCGCAACCCCUCUCCUUAGUUACCAUCAGGUCAAGCUGGGCACUCUGGGGACACUGCCACCGUAAGGUGUGAGGAAGGUGGGGAU